CUACGGGGCGCUGCAGUGGGGAAUCUUGGACAAUGGGCGCAAGCCUGAUCCAGCCAUGUCGCGUGAGUGACGAAGGCCUUAGGGUCGUAAAGCUCUUUCGCCAGGGAUGAUAAUGACAGUACCUGGUAAAGAAACCCCGGCUAACUCCGUGCCAGCAGCCGCGGUAAUACGGAGGGGGUUAGCGUUGUUCGGAAUUACUGGGCGUAAAGCGCGCGUAGGCGGACUGGAAAGUUGGGGGUGAAAUCCCGGGGCUCAACCUCGGAACUGCCUCCAAAACUCCCAGUCUAGAGUUCGAGAGAGGUGAGUGGAAUUCCGAGUGUAGAGGUGAAAUUCGUAGAUAUUCGGAGGAACACCAGUGGCGAAGGCGGCUCACUGGCUCGAUACUGACGCUGAGGUGCGAAAGUGUGGGGAGCAAACAGGAUUAGAUACCCUUGUAGUC
rnacentral:rRNA from 1 species